AAUGACAUGCCAAAAACAUUUUCAGCCGUGCACAAAUUCUGGAAAAAUCAUCAUAAAAAAGAAGACAUCAUGAAGAACAUUGCACAAAAAAUCUCAUGUGAUUUGGAUCAUUAUUUUUAGAGUUAUGAUUUUUUAAUAAGGAGAAAAUAAAAAAACAUGUGAAUGAAGCAUAUGAACAUGGAUACAUGAAAUGAAGAAAAAGGCAAAGCAACAUUUGAAAAGUGACCGAGCCCAGGAUCGAAC
rnacentral:lncRNA from 1 species